CUUCGUCGUACCUUCGUCCGACUAAAAACGCAAAAAAAAAAAAUAGAAAAAAAAUCGCAUAAUAUUUAUUAUUAUGAUUCUUGAUAAAUUACCUUUAUUCCCCACUUCCCCCUUGCGUAUACGCGUAAUAUUAUGUUAGUAUACGGAAAAUAAUUCGCAUUAAAAUUCACUUAGUACUUACCGCCGAAAUACGAGAGAAAAAAAAAAACAACUAAACAGUUAAAUAUUAUUAUAUAUAUAACACAUGAUUAAUAAUACGGAG